AGCCGUAAACUAUGCUCGCUAGGUGUCAGGCAUGGCGCGACCGUGUCUGGUGCCGCAGGGAAGCCGUGAAGCGAGCCACCUGGGAAGUACGGCCGCAAGGCUGAAACUUAAAGGAAUUGGCGGGGGAGCACAACAACGGGUGGAGCCUGCGGUUUAAUUGGACUCAACGCCGGGAAGCUCACCGGAUAAGACAGCGGAAUGAUUGCCGGGCUGAAGACUCUGCAUGACUAGCUGAGAGGUGGUGCAUGGCGUAGACGUCU
rnacentral:rRNA from 1 species